UAAUACAAGACAAUGGGCGCAAGCCUGAUCCAGCCAUGCCGCGUGAGUGAUGAAGGCCUUAGGGUUGUAAAGCUCUUUGUCCGGGAAGAUAAUGACGUACAGAGAGAG
rnacentral:rRNA from 1 species